UACAGCGGUCUCAAGCGUUGUUCGGAUUCAUUGGGCGUAAAGGGUGCGUCGGCGGCGCGGUAAGUCGGAUGUGAAAUCUCGGAGCUUAACUUCGAAACUGCAUUCGAUACUGCCGUGCUUGAGGACUGGAGAGGAGACUGGAAUUUACGGUGUAGCGGUGAAAUGCGUAGAUAUCGUAAGGAAGACCAGUGGCGAAGGCGGGUCUCUGGACAGUUCCUGACGCUGAGGCACGAAGGUCAGGGGAGCAAACGGG
rnacentral:rRNA from 1 species